rnacentral:rRNA from 1 species
CCUACGGGGGGCAGCAGUGGGGAAUAUUGCACAAUGGGGGCAACCCUGAUGCAGCGACGCCGCGUGAGUGAAGAAGUAUCUCGGUAUGUAAAGCUCUAUCAGCCGGGAAGAAAAUGACGGUACCUGACUAAGAAGCCCCGGCUAAAUACGUGCCAGCAGCCGCGGUAAUAUGCCGGGGGCAAGCGUUAUCCGGAUUUACUGGGUGUAAAGGGAGCGUAGACGGGAGAGCAAGUCCGCAGGGAAAGCCGGCGGCCCAACUGCGGGACUGCGUUGGAAACUGCCCGGCUAGAGUGCGGGAGAGGUAAGCGGAAUGCGUAGUGUAGCGGUGAAAUGCGUAGAUAUUAGGAGGAACACCAGUGGCGAAGGCGGCAUACUGGACAGUAACUGACGUUGAGGCUCGAAAGCGUGGGGAGCAAACAGGAUUAGAUACCCUUGUAGUC